UACAGAGGUCUCAAGCGUUGUUCGGAUUUACUGGGCGUAAAGGGCGCGUAGGCGGCGGGUCAAGUCGAGUGUGAAAGCCCCGGGCUUAACUCGGGAACUGCGCUUGAUACUGUCGAGCUAGAGUGUGGAAGGGGCGAUUGGAAUUCCGUGUGUAGCGGUGAAAUGCGUAGAUAUACGGAGGAACACCAGAGGCGAAGGCGGAUCGCUGGGCCAACACUGACGCUGAGACGCGAAAGCUAGGGGAGCAAACGGG
rnacentral:rRNA from 1 species